CCUAGUAACGGCGAGUGAAGCGGCAUCAGCUCAAAUUUGAAAUCUGGCUCUUUCAGAGUCCGAGUUGUAAUUUGCAGAGGGCGCUUUGGCGUUGGCAGCGGUCCAAGUUCCUUGGAACAGGACGUCACAGAGGGUGAGAAUCCCGUACGUGGUCGCUGGCCUUCACCGUGUAAAGCCCCUUCGACGAGUCGAGUUGUUUGGGAAUGCAGCUCUAAAUGGGAGGUAAAUUUCUUCUAAAGCUAAAUACUGGCCAGAGACCGAUAGCGCACAAGUAGAGUGAUCGAAAGAUGAAAAGCACUUUGGAAAGAGAGUCAAAUAGCACGUGAAAUUGUUGAAAGGGAAGCGCUUGCAGCCAGACUUGCCUGUAGUUGCUCAUCCGGGCUUUUGCCCGGUGCACUCUUCUGUAGGCAGGCCAGCAUCAGUUUGGGCGGUUGGAUAAAGGCCUCUGUCAUGUACCUCCUUUCGGGGAGGCCUUAUAGGGGAGGCGACAUGCAACCAGCCUGGACUGAGGUCCGCGCAUCUGCUAGGAUGCUGGCGUAAUGGCUGUAAGCGGCCCGUCUUGAAACACGGACCAAGGAGUCUAACAUCUAUGCGAGUGUUUGGGUGUCAAGCCCGAGCGCGCAAUGAAAGUGAACGGAGGUGGGAUCCCUUAAGGGUGCACCAUCGACCGAUCCUGAUGUCUUCGGAUGGAUUUGAGUAAGAGCAUGGCUGUU
rnacentral:rRNA from 1 species